UGUUAAGGAUGAAAAAUUCACAAAUACAUGAAGAAAACCUGCUGUAUGCAUUCCUUUGACUGUAUUUGUUUUUUCAGGUAUGAAUAAUUUGCAUUGUAUAUGCCAUGAGGAAGCUCAUCCCAGCAUGAGGAUUUUUUUCACUUGUGGGAUAAUCUGACCCUGAAGUGACCUAGGAUAUCUUGACCAAAAACCAGGAAGAAUAAAACUUCCAGUGGUAAACAUCUCAGAUAACACUUACUGGUGUCAUGACCCCGAACUUCUGGAGCUGCAGGGAAGACUAUGGCUACUGUCCUGAGACAAUCAGUCUGCCUUGGCUCUCUGGACCUUGCAACACACCCUGUUGACCACUUUUAAUUUGGAUGACUGUGAAAUCCUGGUGUCCUCACUCUGUAAGUACCAUGAAUAUAGGCAUGUGCAACCAUGCCUGGUUUAAGUGGCUUCCACUUCAAUUACUACUGCAUUAGAAUUACAGCAUGUGAAAGAUGAACAGUUCCAAUUAAGUAUAUUCAGAAGCAACUUAACUGUGUGACCCUCAGUUUUACCAUCUGUAGAAUAAAAAUAGAAGUCUACCCUAGUUUUGGUGAAUUAUAACAGAUGCCACCAUAAACCAAAAUACUAUUGUUCUUAGUUCACAAAGAGUGGCUUUUAGGUAGGAGAGCUACAUAGGAUGGGAGACUUCUGUUAAUAGUGUUAGGACUAGGGACUUUGUCCUAACUACUAUAACCAGCUAGGCUGAACCACUCAGCCUCAUUAAGCCAAAAAAAAAAAAAGUGUUAUAUGGCGACAACGUGCCCACCUAUGUGUGAGAUACAUACUUGAUUGCUGACUACUCUACAUUCUUACAUCUCUAUGAGAGAGAUGAAUAGAAUGCUUUGGGUGUAUACCUAAGGUAUUGUUCUUUCUAUUUUCAUCUAUUGAGCAUUUUAAUUUUAAUAUUACUAAACCGUGUUGACAAAACAGGACUCACUGAGUGUACAUCUCCUAUCUUUGGACUUGUACUCAGAAGACUGACACAUGACUAUCAAGAGUAAAAGGAUAACCUUGACUAAUGACUGACACCAAAGCUAGAAUGCAUAAUAACCAACUCUCACAGGAAUUUGUGAGAAAAUGACACACAAAGCAGCGCCCACCAUGCUUUCACCAGCAACCUUACUGGAAAUGUAUGAUCUCACUGCCCUCAUAUUUAACUAAACAAUGGACCACUUAGAAGAUGAGUAUCCAACUCAUUUCAUUGCAGUAGAAGAGUACCUAUCAACAAGAAAAGUGGGAUUAAAGCUGAACAAAAAUCACAGAAGGAAGUCAAAGACCGCAUAAUAAACAUCUGUAAAUGGAAUUUAAAGACAUAGAAUAAGCUCUAAUAUAUAUUCCAAAUGUUUGAAAAUGAAACCACCACCACAAUUGGUGAUGUCUACUACAACACUCGAGUGACCAUGGGAAAUAAUUUACUUCCAUCAAGGCUCUGAUGAGGAAGAGAUGAAGCAGUAUAUUCUUCCUGAUAUGGAAAACAUCUGUGAUGUUACAGUCUAUAACGAGGUCAUCAACGUGGAUAGGGUUUUCACUUGUAUAAGUUUUUUUUCUAUUUCCUGACAUCAUGAUGAUAUAAAACACUUUAAUUAUUUAGAUGGCUAGAGACAUGGCCAAGUAAUUAAGAAAACUUCAUUCCCAGGGACAAGGUCAGGUUUGGACAUCUUCCUGUAUUUUCUGCCAUGAGAAGAUACAACAAAGUAAUAAUCUUGGAAAUCAGCAUAGACAUGCACAUACUCACCCAAAGAUGCAGGCAAACCCCAUAAAUAAAAUUAAAAGAAAAUGAUGAGCAAGAAAAUUUUACUCAUGAUGUUCUUCUUGUAUAAGCAUUAACAACUAUAACCCAGGGUUUGUGGUAUCUAAUGCUUAUCCACAAAGUUUUUCUUCAUCAUGAGUUGGCUUAUGUAACAGAAAGCAAGCAUAGAGGAUUGAUGGCAGAAAAAUCAAUACUUCUCAGUUAGUAGUGUCAUCUGGAACUCACUCUGUAGACCAGGCUGGCAUCAAACUCAGAAAUUUGCCUGCCUCUGCCCCCCAAGUGCUGGGAUUAAAGGCCAGUGAUACCACACCCAGCCCUAACUCUGUCUUUAAAGCAAUUGGUUGAGGACUUGAGCUCUGAGCUCCUGUUUAGCUGCCACAAAUGACACUUGUUGCCCUGACAAUAUCAUGGUGAUCCUAUAUCCCUUUAGGACUCUAAUGAAAUUUAAAUGCUUCUAAAAAUUACCUUCAUGUUGAGGUUUCGUCUCUUGCUAUGUACUGUAAUGUUAAAAGCAGGAAACUAAAAACUGAUUGCUACAUAGAAGACAAGAUCUGCACACAGACCGAAGAGAGACGCUGUGUGAUCUUGCUCUCAAGUUACUUCUGCCUGGUUAUUAAAGAUGACAACAAUCAAUAGCUGGGCAGUAGCUGGGCAGAAGAGACAUAGACAGGGUUUAGGGAUACUGAACUUGGGAUCAGUGGAGAACCACAAGGAAGAGAAGAGAAGAGAAGAGAAGAGAAGAGAAGAGAAGAGAAGAGAAGAGAAGAGAAGAGAAGAGAAGAGAAGAGAAGAGAAGAGAAGAGAAGAGAAGAGAAGAGAAGUAGACAGAGAAAAAGCAGCCUUAGGUUAGGUCAAUAACAAAAUAAUGGUCAUGUGCGGUGACUACUUGGAAUUAAGCAUAGCCCAGAUGAAAUAAGGCAAAUUAUAUGACAAAAUUCCUGGCUGGUAAAUAGACGUGGUAGCAUAGAGGAUAGAUAUCAGCCAAUGUUUGGUGCUGAUUAAGGUUUAUCACAAAUAGAAAAGUUGGGUGUGUUUUACCUAGAAAAGAAAUGGCCAAAGUUGGGGUGGAAACCCUGGUUUGGGAUUGCAUUUUUCUAUAAUACAUUAGACAUUUUAUCACAACAACAGAAAAAGCACUAAUACUCACCAACAGUGUUUCACACCUGAAUGAGUUAUUUCAUGGACUUAAAGUAAACUGUGAAUUCUAAACCAGUUACCUCAUCAAUGAACCUCAUAAAACUUUUAUCCCUAUGAGUUUCCAGGUAGGAACAAAACAGAGACAUCAUCAUACUUGAGCAGAUAGUUGACAGUUGCUAGAAUUUUUCUCAAGCAUGAAUAAUGUUCCCAAAAUCCCCUAUACUUUUGGAAUAGCAUUUGAAAUGUAAAUGAAGAAAAUACUCAAGAAAAAAAAAAA